GGAGGGCCAGAUCCUCAGCUGAUGUAAAUUAGGAGAGCUCUGUCAAUGUUAAACGCUUUCCUGAUUUACUCCAGCUGAAGAUUUGACCUGGG
rnacentral:pre_miRNA from 1 species